UCUUGGGUGGUCUAAUGGAUAGGAUUUCUAGUUUUCACCCAGGCGGCCCGGGUUCGAUCCCCGACACCGGAAC